GUGCAUUCAAAGGAAUCAAAACUGGUCAUCUCUGACCUACAAACUGCCUCUCAGAAACCCCAGAAAUGUGAAUUUCCUCAUCUGUGGUUGAGUUACCUGGGGAGCAUUAGCAGAGUCCGCUGACCUGACCCUAAGAUGGGAAGUUUAUUUCCAGGCCUGGCUCAACCGAGUGCCCUCUGCUGCCAGCCAUCCACGCUCUCUUCACCUGCCUGGGCUCACAGCUCUAGGAGGGGCUGGCUGGCCGACACCCACCCAGAGUGCAAGAUCAUCCAACAAGAAACCAGAGCUUUCAAGACGAAGGACAGAAACGUUAUCUGUAUUUCAGGGGUAGUUUUUGCUUUCCCAUACAAGCACACGGGUACUGGCAUGAGAACUACUUUGGAUUUCAGAUUUUCCUCUUCCUCCUUUAAAAGCCCCUGUCCCUGAAGAUGAACGAUGCCCUAUCUAUCUCGAAGAAUUCCACUACUUAAUAGCCUUGCUCCUGGAAAUUUCGGAAAGAUUCCCACCCCCACCCACCCCCCAUUUUUGUGGAAAUCUCCAAGGCUGACGUAUUUCUACAGAGCUCUUGACUAAUUAACAGCCAUAACUCAUAGAAAUAAGGAAAACAAACACUGACGGAUUGAGCCAAGAGUUAUCCCCCAGUUUCAAAUAAUUGAGUCACUGCAGAAGAAACAGUAGUUGGGGAAAAAAAAACACUCAAAGGGUCCCAAAGUAGAGGACUGGGACCCUGAACUUGGGUUUAUCAGGUGCCCACUUUGUACGCAUCACAGCCCUGAGAGACUUUCAUUCAUCCACAGCUGCCGCUGCUGCGCAUGCCCAGCUCAGGGAACGAUCUGGUAAAGAGGCAGGCGAGGAGGGAGGAAAGGGGGCCAGAGAAGUAAGCGUGCCCACAACCGCAGCUAGCUUAGAGUCUCCUGUGUAGACUGAAAAUGUCUGACAGAAGCCAGGCUACUGUCCUGACUGGGGAUGUCAGGGUUCCUCCCUUCAUCCUGGAACAGAGCUGGAGACAACGAAACCUUGGCCUUCAACGGCAACUGCAGGCCUCAAAGGUCAAGUCAGACAACUAGAGAGCACCUGCUGAAUCUUCCUUCCAUCAUGGCUUCCAGGAGAAGAGCAAGCCCUUGACUUGAACAAGAUGUUGACCGGAACCGCCUUGAGGCAAGCUCAUGAGGUGGCAAGAGCCUUGGGUAGAGGCAGAUGUGGCUUCAAAUCAAAUUCCCAAGAGCAAGUGCAGAGUGGUCGGUGCCUCCCUGGCUCAAAUGUCCUGGGACAGUGGCCUCCGUUCUGGGGCUGCACCUCAGGUUUCGGAGACAGAGCAGCCACAGAAAGCAGCC
rnacentral:lncRNA from 1 species